rfam:Asian citrus Psyllid, Diaphorina citri - Florida Strain, whole genome shotgun sequence.
GCCAGUGUUCAUAUCACCUAGAUACACGAGUUCUUUCCGAUCACUUAAGUUAAGCAACGUCGAGUGUGGAUAGUACUUGGAUGGGUGACUGCUUAGGAACAAAUGGUACAGUUU